AAGUCGUAACAAGGUUUCCGUAGGUGAACCUGCGGAAGGAUCAUUAUCGAGUUUUGACUGGGUUGUAGCUGGCCUUCCGAGGCAUGUGCACGCCCUGCUCAUCCGCUCUCUACACCUGUGCACUUACUGUGGGUUACAGGAUCGCGAAACGGGCUCUUUACGGGGCUCGCGGAGCGCGCUUGUGCCCGCGUUUAUCACAAACCCCAUGAAGUAUUAGAAUGUGUAUUGCGAUGUAACGCAUCUAUAUACAACUUUCAGCAACGGAUCUCUUGGCUCUC
rnacentral:misc_RNA from 1 species